UUUAUGGUGAUAUGGUUGUAGGGUUGAUGGUGUUGGGGAGUGCGGGGACCAAUUUCUCUUCUAUAUCUGUUUCGGAGGUUGGUCUCUAUGUUGUUGGCAGCUCCCGUUUUUAGGCUUUGUUUCAAUUUUGGCUGUAUAUGCGGCUGGGGUUUUGAUUGAUUUCCAGAUCUUGAUCUGGUUUUGUCAGUUGAAGCUAUGUCAGUGUUUGUCACGAUAUGGAAUUGUUUCCUUUUGUCUUCCCCCGUUGUGUUCUGUGUGUUUGCAGUUGAAGAUGAAGUCGUUUUGAGUUGGUGGAUGCCUCUGGUGAUGGGUUCUGACCGGGUUAUGUGACGUUCUUGUUGUGGACUAGGCGACGACUCGUCAGGGUGGUGGCUGUUUGGAGGCGAUUUAGGUUGUCUUCCGGUGCGGGUAUUUGGCUGAAACUGG
rnacentral:lncRNA from 1 species